GGUCGCAUAGCUCAGCUGGGAGAGCACCUGCCUUACAAGCAGGGGGUCAUUGGUUCGAACCCAAUUGUGACCA
rnacentral:tRNA from 1 species